rnacentral:rRNA from 1 species
GUCCUGGCCCUAAACGGUGUUCACUUGGUGUGCGGGGAGUCGACCCCCUGCGUGCCGCAGCUAACGCGAUAAGUGAACCGCCUGGGAAGUACGGUCGCAAGAUUAAAACUCAAAGAAAUUGACGGGGGCCCGCACAAGCGGUGGAGCAUGUGGCUUAAUUCGAUGCAACGCGAAGAACCUUACCUGGCCUUGACAUCUAUCACGAAAAUCGGUGAAAGCCGGUGACGGCCCGAAAGGGUGCAGGGGAUAGACAGGUGCUGCAUGGUUGUCGU